rnacentral:rRNA from 1 species
UACGUAGGGUGCAAGCGUUAAUCGGAAUUACUGGGCGUAAAGCGUGCGCAGGCGGUUAUGUAAGACAGAUGUGAAAUCCCCCGGCUCAACCGGGGAAGGGGCGCCGAUACGACCGCCCUGGAGGGACGUAGGGGGGGCUGGAACUUCCGGUGGAGCGGUGAAAUGCGUUGAGAUCGGAAGGAACGCCCGUGGCGAAAGCGAGCCCCUGGACGUCUACUGACGCUGAGACGCGAAAGCCAGGGGAGCGAACGGG